GGAUCGUAUUAGAGAACCUUAUAUUGUCUGAAGAGAGGUGAUGACAUAAAAAUCGCCUCAAUGGGAUUACACUGAGGCCC